rnacentral:rRNA from 1 species
AGUGAACGCUGGCGGUAGGCCUAACACAUGCAAGUCGAACGGCAGCACAGUAAGAGCUUGCUCUUACGGGUGGCGAGUGGCGGACGGGUGAGGAAUACAUCGGAAUCUACUUUUUCGUGGGGGAUAACGUAGGGAAACUUACGCUAAUACCGCAUACGACCUACGGGUGAAAGCAGGGGAUCUUCGGACCUUGCGCGAUUGAAUGAGCCGAUGUCGGAUUAGCUAGUUGGCGGGGUAAAGGCCCACCAAGGCGACGAUCCGUAGCUGGUCUGAGAGGAUGAUCAGCCACACUGGAACUGAGACACGGUCCAGACUCCUACGGGAGGCAGCAGUGGGGAAUAUUGGACAAUGGGCGCAAGCCUGAUCCAGCCAUACCGCGUGGGUGAAGAAGGCCUUCGGGUUGUAAAGCCCUUUUGUUGGGAAGGAAAAGCAGCAGGUUAAUACCCCGCUGUCCUGACGGUACCCAAAGAAUAAGCACCGGCUAACUUCGUG